GACGAACGCUGGCGGCGUGCUUAACACAUGCAAGUCGAACGGUGAAGCGCCUUCCUUUUUGGUGGGUGUGGAUGAGUGGCGAACGGGUGAGUAACACGUGAGUAACCUGCCCCCUUCUUCUGGAUAACCGCAUGAAAGUGUGGAUAAUACGGGAUAUUCUGGGUCUGUCGCAUGAUGGGUAUGGGACAGAUAUUGUUUCGGUGGGGGAUGGGCUCGCGGCCUAUCAGCUUGUUGGUGGGGUGAUGGCCUACGAAGGCGGGGACGGGUAGCCGGGCUGAGAGGGUGGACGGUCUCACUGGGACUGAGACACGGCCGAGACUCCGACGCGAGGCAGCCGUGUGGGGGAGUGCACAGUGGGGGCAAGUGUGAUGCAGCGGGGCGGCGUGAGGGAUGGAGGCGUGCGCGUUGUGAACCUCUUUGGCUUGUGAAGCGGUUUUGCCUGGUUUGUGGGGGGGGUGACGGUAGCGGGAAAAGAAGCGCCGGCUAACUACGUG
rnacentral:rRNA from 1 species